GAUGAACGCUAGCGGCAGGCUUAAUACAUGCAAGUCGAGGGGCAGCAGGACUGUAGCAAUACAGUUGCUGGCGACCGGCAAACGGGUGCGGAACACGUACGCAACCUUCCUUUAAGUGAGGGAUAGCCCAGGGAAACUUGGAUUAAUACCUCGUAAUAUUUGAGAGUGGCAUCACUUUUUAAUUAUAGCUCCGGCGCUUAAAGAUGGGCGUGCGACUGAUUAGGUAGUUGGCGGGGUAACGGCCCACCAAGCCUGCGAUCAGUAACUGGUGUGAGAGCACGACCAGUCACACGGGCACUGAGACACGGGCCCGACUCCUACGGGAGGCAGCAGUAAGGAAUAUUGGUCAAUGGACGCAAGUCUGAACCAGCCAUGCCGCGUGGAGGAUGAAGGUCCUCUGGAUUGUAAACUUCUUUUAUCUGGGAAGAAACCCAUAUUUUCUAGUGUGGUUGACGGUACCAGAUGAAUAAGCACCGGCUAACUCCGUGCCAGCCGCCGCAGUAAAAC
rnacentral:rRNA from 1 species